rnacentral:sRNA from 1 species
GGGACGAAAAUCAGACUAAGCGACGAAAAUCAGACGGAGUGACAAAUUGAGGGACCUAGAGUGAACUUAUUCCAAUGAGAGUACUACGUACUUCAGUUGGACUGGGCCGAGAAAUGCAGAUGAAAUUCAGGCCCAGUUACGCGUGGGGAGCAUGAGCAUGAGCAUCAUCUUCGGGCAGCUGCUGCUGAUGUGUUGCUGUCGACGUCGCCGCUAACCGUGCUUUCAGCUCGUGAUCCGAUCAGAUCAGAUCAGUCGAUCAAUCUCAUCGCCUCCGCCUGAACAAAUUCCCGGGGUUUCCUGCUUUGCUUAGUAGCCAAGGAAUAAUCCGCCGAGCCGGGUAUGUACGAUCGAGACGACGACGGCAUAAAGCGUGUACACGCCGCCAGCCUUGCCAUGGUGAUGGUGUCGUCAAAACAUUAAUAUUCCCCCGGCCGGCGAGGCUGCCGGCUAGUGCGCCGGGAAUCUCACGAGCCGCCGUGUAAAUUCGUUGCUAUCCGAAUCCCCCCGGCAUCACCACGCCGCUGUUACUGUCACCCUGCCCCCCCCCCCCCCCCCGCGGCGCGCUUUCUCUCUUUCUUUCUCACCUGCACUACUGACUACUGCUGCUGCUACUCGAAUUCGACCCAUUCAGCUGCAUUUGUGCUGCGCCCGCGGUAUGGAGCAGCAGCUAGCUAGAGUGAGGAGAGUAGCUAGCACACUGGUCGCUAGCUGCUUCUGGAUGAUGGAUAAGGGAAUGGAUGCCAUUCUCAAUUUCUCAUAGCAGGAGAGAGAGAGAGACAUAUGGCGAUGCAGAUGAAUGCAUAUGCGUGCAUGGAUGGAAUUGGCUAGGGGGUGUUUUUGAUUUUACUUAAUUCGAUCGCGACGCCUUUAGCUAUGUUGCCAAAUAUUCGAGCAAGUUGAAAUGGGUGGUAAGGUGAACUGGUCAUGUGCCUCGCUUUCUAUCUGGUAUCGUCGAAUAUUGCAAGUGGAUAGAAGAUGGUAAUUUACUGAACGUAACGGUAGUCGGCAGGUGGUUUUCUCAAGGUUUUUCAGUAAAACAGUUCAGCAACAGGAGCAGGCUACUUAUGCUUAUUCCUUGAACUUUCACUGUACAUAAAACGAAAAGGUGUUUCAAGAGUACAGCAACUUUCAACUUAAUAGGAGUACAGCAACUUAAAAAGGACUGAAGUUUAUCUACUAGACUACUAUAGUCUUGUAAAGCAGAGAGUUGGCAGUUUGAUAUUUUUAAGAUGUAGACUUGCAGAGGCAGUGAACUUCCAUCUUGUUUUACUAUCGACCCCUUCAAUUGCAGAUUGUAGUGUCUUGUGAGCUC